GUGGGGAAUAUUGGGCAAUGGGCGCAAGCCUGACCCAGCGACGCCGCGUGGGUGAUGAAGGCCUUCGGGUCGUAAAGCCCUGUCGGGUGGAAAGAACGGUGGAAAGGCAAAUAGCCUUUCCACGUGACGGUACCACCGAAGGAAGCACCGGCCAAUUCCGUGCCAGCAGCCGCGGUAAGACGGAAGGUGCAAGCGUUGCUCGGAAUCACUGGGCGUAAAGGGUGCGUAGGCGGCUUGGUGGGUCUGGUGUGAAAGCCCCGGGCUUAGCCCGGGAAGGGCACUAGAAACUGCCAAGCUUGAGUGCCGGAGGGGAGAGUGGAAUUCCUGGUGUAGCGGUGAAAUGCGUAGAUAUCAGGAGGAAUACCGGUGGCGAAAGCGACUCUCUGGACGGCAACUGACGCUGAGGCACGAAAGCGUGGGGAGCAAACAGGAUUAGAAACCCGAGUAGUCC
rnacentral:rRNA from 1 species